UACGUAGGGGGCGAGCGUUGUCCGGAGUUACUGGGCGUAAAGCGCACGCAGGCGGUCUGCUAAGUUUGGAGUGACAGUUGGUGGCUUAACUGCCAAAGUGCUUCGAAAACUGACAGACUUGAGGGCUUCAGAGGGACACGGAAUCCGGGUGGAGUGGUGGAAAUGCGUAGAGACCCGGAGGAACACCGGUGGCGAAGGCGGCUUCCUGGUCUGCAACUGACGCUGUGGCGCGAAAGCUAGGGGAGCAAACGGG
rnacentral:rRNA from 1 species